rnacentral:rRNA from 1 species
UAGUCCGCGCCGUAAACGAUGGUAACUAGGUGUGCGCGAUAUACAGUGCGUGCCCAAGCGAAAGCGAUAAGUUACCCACCUGGGGAGUACGCUCGCAAGAAUGAAACUCAAAGGAAUUGACGGGGGUCCGCACAAGCGGUGGGGCAUGUGGUUUAAUUCGAUGAUACGCGAGGAACCUUACCUAGGCUCUAAUGUGACUGCUAUCUGGUGAAAGCCGGAGUUCCUUCGGGACAGGAAACAAGGUGCUGCAUGGUUGUCGUCAGCUCGUGCCGUGAGGUGUUGGGUUAAGUCCCGCAACGAGCGCAACCCCUAUCUUUAGUUACCAGCACGUAAUGGUGGGGACUCUAGAGAGACUGCCGGCGUAAGCCGAGAGGAAGGUGGGGAUGACGUCAAAUCAUCAUGGCCUUUAUGCCCAGGGCUACACACGUGCUACAAUGGCCGGUACAAAGAGUUGCUAAGCCGCGAGGUAGAGCUAAUCUCAGAAAGCCGGUCUCAGUUCGGA